GUGGCAAAAUUGUAACUAGAGAAUAGUCUUAUUAUUGUGUAUGGCCAUUGAGUUUUUUUGCCCAAUAUUUUAUUCUUUUUUAAUCCAUAUAAUUCAGCCUUAAGCCCUUGUUGAAACACUAUAAAAGGAACAUGAUACUCUCACUCAUCCAACUAAUGUCAACAUGACUAUUCUUCAACCUAGAUGAGAGAGUUUCUCUCCACAAACCCUUCACCUAUCCACAUCGACAGUAAGGCCUUCCCAAAACCUUAUCCUGUCCAACCUCAGACCCAUGAGCUCAAUGUAAGUAAUUUUAAUGAUGUUUAGUAGUCUCCAUCAACAUUCUCCUAUUGACAAGGUAAAACAGAUUUGUGAAGAACAUAUCUAUUGGAGGUUUGGAUUUGUGCUUAUUUUUAAACCACGAGCAGUCAAAUUUCUUCUCACCAUAUGUUUUAUUUUUAGUGGUUCUCUCCACAAACCCUCCCCGUGACCCUUUCCUUUCUAAUCUAUGUCCAAGACACAAGAUAUUGAUGUAGCCAAUUUAAUGGCGUGUAGUCCCCAUGGGUAUGUCAUUCCUAUUUACAAGUGAGUCUAAUUGCUGCAAACAGGAUGUUCAUUAUUCUUUAUUGAUUUGGCAUGGAUUGUGCUAAUUUAUUGGUAAUUCAUGUGUAAUUUGGGUAAAUUUGUACCUGUUUUCUCUAAGACAUUGCAACAAUCAUUAUUUUUUUCUUUGAUUGAUGUUUUUCAAGUCAUUUCGUGAUCUUGAUUGUUGCCAUUACGAAUUUGAGUUAAGUGCCCAGAUUAACGAGGUUGGUACCAAGAUUUUGGGGCCAAAAUUAAUUAGUUUUCUGUUUUUUUGCUCUGUUUUUUACUUUUAAGUUGUGGUAGUUUUUUUUUUUUUUUUUUUGGUUUCUUAGUUAGCUUGGUUGGAUUGCUAUGUGUGUUUUGUUGCUCGAUUGAUAUAUA